rnacentral:sRNA from 2 species
GCAAACGAAAAAGAUUCCGCUCUCGGGUUUCUUCGUCAUUUUUCUACAGGAACGAAAGUAGUCCUUCAACCAGACCAAGAAGAAUGGUCCGAGGCCUUCAUUUUUACCACUCCCUCUCCCUCUCCCUCUCCCUCUCCCUCUGUCUCCCUCUCUCUCUUUCCCUUCUCCUUUCCCAUGGUGAAGAGUUCAAUUUCCUUCUACAAUUGAUAUUUCUUUUAUGAAGGCCGGCUCUUUGUGUCUUCCCACGGCUCCCGCCAGGCAGUGCAGCAUUAUCCCCCUUGAAAUAAGCGUAAUGGAAGGGAAAAGCCUGUCAAAUAUAUAAAAUACACAACCUAUUCCCAA